AAACGGAAAGCCGCGUGCAAGCGAAGGAGGAGUCACAUAGGAAAAACCGUGUGGCAAUCCAAAGGCGUGAUGCGGACCGAAUUAAAGUAGGGAAGUGUGUGAGCCAUGAAUCAAGAAAAGCCGCUAUUGUUUUUAAGAUACCCGUACCGUAAACCGACACAGGUGGAUGAGGAGAGAAUCCUAAGGCCGGCGGAAGGAGCAUUGUUAAGGAACUCGGCAAAAUGACCCCGUAACUUCGGGAGAAGGGGUGCCAACGAGAGUUGGCCGCAGAGAAUAGGCUCAAGCAACUGUUUAGCAAAAACACAGGUCUAUGCAAAACCGUAAGGUGAGGUAUAUGGGCUGACGCCUGCCCGGUGCUGGAAGGUUAAGAGGAGAGGUUAGCGCAAGCGAAGCUUUGAAUUUAAGCCCCAGUAAACGGCGGCCGUAACUAUAACGGUCCUAAGGUAGCGAAAUUCCUUGUCGGGUAAGUUCCGACCCGCACGAAAGGCGUAAUGAUUUGAGCGCUGUCUCGACAAUGCAUCCGGUGAAAUUGAAGUACCAGUGAAGAUGCUGGUUACCCGCGCCAGGACGGAAAGACCCCAUGGAGCUUUACUCCAGUUUGGUACUGGGGUCCGGCAGUGCAUGUACAGGAUAGGUGGGAGGCUGUGAACCUGGAACGCCAGUUUCAGGGGAGCCAUUGUUGGGAUACCACCCUUGUGCUGCUGGGCUUCUAACCAGCGGCCUUUAUCAGGCCGGGGGACAAUGCCAGACGGGGAGUUUGACUGGGGCGGUCGCCUCCGAAAGGGUAUCGGAGGCGCUCAAAGGUUCCCUCAGAAUGGUCGGAAACCAUUCGAAGAGUGCAAAGGCAGAAGGGAGCUUGACUGCGACACCGACGGGUGGGGCAGGUACGAAAGUAGGACUUAGUGAUCCGGUGGUAUUAAGUGGGAAUGCCAUCGCUCAACGGAUAAAAGCUACCCUGGGAUAACAGGCUUAUCACUCCCAAGAGUUCACAUCGACGGAGUGGUUUGGCACCUCGAUGUCGGCUCAUCGCAUCCUGGGGCUGUAGUAGGUCCCAAGGGUUGGGCUGUUCGCCCAUUAAAGCGGUACGCGAGCUGUGUUCAGAACGUCGUGAGACAGUUCGGUCCCUAUCCGGCGUGGGCGUAGGAUAUUUGAGAGGAGCUGUCCUUAGUACGAGAGGACCGGGAUGGACUGACCUCUGGUGUACCGGUUGAACCGCCAGGUUCACGGCCGGGUAGCCAAGUCGGGAAGGGAUAAACGCUGAAGGCAUCUAAGCGUGAAGCCCCCCUCAAGAUGAGAUAUCCCAUUCGAAAGAAGUAAGACCCCUUGAAGACGACGAGGUAGAUAGGGCAGAGGUGGAAGUGCCGUAAGGCAUGGAGCUGACUGUUACUAAUCGGUCGAGGGCUUGAUC
rnacentral:rRNA from 1 species